rnacentral:piRNA from 1 species
AGUAAAGUCUGUUGAAAUGCACC